rnacentral:misc_RNA from 1 species
GAUGAAGAACGUAGCGAAAUGCGAUAAGUAAUGUGAAUUGCAGAAUUCAGUGAAUCAUCGAAUCUUUGAAUGCACCUUGCACUCCUUGGUAUUCCGAGGAGUACGCCUGUUCGAGUGUUAUGAAGCUCUCAAAACGCAAUUGGCUUAAAACCUGAUUGUUGUUUUGGAUUUGAACUUUGCCGUGUUAUAACGGCUGGUUUUAAAAGUAUUAGCUGGUACUAGAACGAAUUGGUUCUACUCAACGUGAUAAUUAUCUGAUCGUUGAGGACAUUCCUUUCACGAGGAAUGGCCAUAGUAAAUUCAAUGGACUGCUUCUAAUCUGGCUUUAAUUCUUUAUUGGAUUAACCACUUUUCAAAUCUGACCUCGAAUCAGGUGGGACUACCCGCUGAACUUAAGCAUAUCAAUAAGCGGAGGA